rnacentral:misc_RNA from 1 species
GUUGACCUGGUCUUCUUUGAAGAACUCUGAAAGCUUUUCCUCUCUUUCUGCCGCGUAGAGUUGAUGAGAGCUAUUUCUGUGAAGGAGCAGAGCCAGCAUUUCCAUGUUGUGCAAGUUGUUAGAACUUAAUAGAUAUGAAAUCGUUCACUUCUCUAGAGUUGCCAUUGUUGACUGUCGACCCUCUUCACCUUUUUAAUUCAAAAUAUGGUGAUGAGAGAGAGAUCUAGCUCUUUGGCUCUUACUUCUCUCCAUCGGGUCAUCGUCGGUGUCAACCCCCUCUUUUUAGUUUUUCUUUGAUUUCUCAUGACAGGAGUCUUAAUCAUCUUUAAUAAGUGACAGAUAUAAAAUAAACGAAGGGCUCUAAGGCUAAGGCAAAGGCAGGCACUGCAUGUGCUCUUGUUUUUCAGCUUUCAGCUUCUUCUCUUUGCCAGUGACCAACUGCCCAUACCCUGGAUUAGAGGACACACACACACGCACACACACAUCAUGUCAUCUCUUUCAGCGCGAACGGGCAGACACAAACAACGUUACCAAGAUCAACUCAGGCUCGUAGCAGGGUGCAUUCCUUAUAAACUUGACAAGAACGUUGAGGAUAAAAACUGUAGGGUGGAGGACAGUGUUCGUGUCCUCAUGAUUUCAACACCAAAUCGUAAAGAUCUUGUAUUUCCAAAGGGUGGGUGGGAAGACGAUGAGACUCUUGAUCAAGCUGCUUGUCGAGAGGCCUUGGAGGAAGCAGGAGUUACAGGACUACUUGGUGUAGGUCACCUUAUUUUCUUUGCUUGGGAUUUGGAUGAUUUCUCCUGCUUAAAGAAAAGAACUAUUUGUUAAUUGUCUAAGUUAGUCUUCUUGCAAUUGAAUUCUUCUUAUUUGUUCUUCUUCCCUCGUGUAAAUUUCUAAUAGCUAUUCACUGCUUACCAAUGAGAUUAAAUUCUUUACCUGCAUUUCCAUUGAAAUUCAAGUCCUGAGAGCUUUGCAUUCAGGUUUUGCUCUGUUUUGAAUUCACUUGUUAUAGGAAAAUCCACUAGGAGUUUGGGAGUUUCGAAGCAAGAGCAGCCAGAAUAGUAGCAGUUUGGUAGGAGGCUGUAAAGGCUAUAUGUUUGCACUGGAGGUAACCGACGAGCUUGACCACUGGCCAGGACAGGCUAGUUACAGUAGAAAAUGGGUCAGUACUCACUCAGUAGCCUUUUACUUUUCCUCCAUAUGCAAUGAAUACAAUCUGAUAAUUAAUUAUGAUGGAACUCAUAUUGAAUCGACUAUCAUCAAUGGUCAUAAUGAGACUGUUAAUGUUCAUGGCUUAGUAAUAGAAGGCUUAUUUGCGUGGAUAAUUUCAGCUUACCACAGAGGAAGCUUUCAAAUUCUGCCGGUAUGACUGGAUGAGAGAAGCUCUUAAAAAAUUUCAGGCAGGCCUCUCCAAGGACAACACUGUACACGUUAAAGAGGAAGAGCCGGCAGAGAGUCAAAUGGUGUCAUCAGGUUACUUUGUAAAGCCACCUGGUGUCCAGCACCUUGAAGAAUCCUCUACCAAGCCUUGUUUAUUGACAAUCUAUAAUCAGUUGUUAAAGCUGUAGCUCAUAUUCCGAUUCUGUAAAAAGCUUGGACCAUUGUACAGCUCUCCAAUUAAUUUAAUGGAUAAAUCUCUGAUUCUUUUCUAGAGAAAAUCCUAGUAUUACUUGUGGUGGUGCUGCUACUCAUUCAAUCUUUUGUUAUUUUUUCAGUUCACUUCUUUCAAUGUAUCAAAAGAAAAGCGAAUUUCUAUUGAAUUCCAC